rnacentral:rRNA from 1 species
UACGGAGGGUGCAAACGUUGCUCGGAAUCAUUGGGCGUAAAGCGCGCGUAGGCGGCCUGUUAAGUCGGAUGUGAAAGCCCUGGGCUCAACCCAGGAAGUGCAUACGAAACUGGCAGGCUUGAAUAUGGAAGAGGGUCGCGGAAUUCCCGGUGUAGAGGUGAAAUUCGUAGAUAUCGGGAGGAACACCAGUGGCGAAGGCGGCGACCUGGGCCAAUAUUGACGCUGAGGUGCGAAAGCGUGGGGAGCAAACAGG